ensembl:lncRNA
CCAACAGGUUCUUCUACACCAAACUCUUCAAGAGAUGCUCAGUCGCUUGAUGUAGAAAUGUCAUCUUUGAGCCAGGCACAUCAGUGCAGUGUUGCAGAGGGCGCCCACACUUUUGCCGCAGAUGAUGCUGCAGAAAUGGCCAAAAAGAUAGUCCAGGAGGCUCUGGAGAAAAAUGCUGGCGGAGAAGAUGUAAUAGAGGAGUAUAGAAGAUCCAAGACCUUGACACACAACACAAGAAGACAUCUUGUGAAUAUCCUUGUCAGCCACAUGGUUGAAAAACAUGGCAGAAUCCCAGUUCGAAUGCAAAGAGAAAAAUACGGACUUGGCAUUGUGACCCUGUUUCCAAAUCUCAGCGAUCCUUUCUCCACCAAAGGCUAUGAACACUUCUAUGAUGGUGCAAGUGGAACUGGCUAUCUGGCAUGGUGCCUAAAAACUGUGCAGAGAAAAGUUACAAAAAGGUCGGAGAACAGCCCUCAAGGAGCCUUGCAGGGAGGACCCAGCCUGAAGAGGAGUUUCACAGCAGAGCAACAGGCAGAUGGUGAUGCAGUCAGAGAAGCCAUAUUGUUACUUCUACAUUCCAGUGAUGAUUCAGUGAUCCGCAGCAAGAUGAGGGAGACGUUUCAGCAUCGUCAUCAGCUUGUCCAUAAUCCAGAGAUGACCACUGAAGUCCUAAAAAUGUAUCCAAGAUUUUUGGAUGUGAAGGGAUUGAUAAAUCAAGAUUUCACACUCCUGUUUGGAGCGGAAACCUCCUCCAAGUUAUUAGAGAAGUGGGACUCCACCUUCAAAUGCAAAAUCAUUGAAGAAGCAAGAUGCUUGACUCAGACUCACACUGUACGCCACCUUCUGAUGUCUGCAGAGAACCAAGACGCUGAACCAAGCGCUGAAUGGGACACGGAUAUAGCUACUCUACUGCUCUUAAUACACCUCCUCCCACCACAACCUGUCGGCAAGAAGGCUGUGAAGAUCAGUGCAGAUGCUGCAUCUGAAAGGCUCAUUGUUUAUCACAAGUCUUGUUGCAGUUUUGAAGAGGCUCUCAGCAAACGUGAUCACCAUCAUCCACACCUCCUUGCUGUUGGAAGAAACCAAAAUCGGAUCGACCAGUUCUACAUUGUCUUGGACAAAAAGCUGAUUCCUUGUGAGGCAGCAAGUGCAGUGGGUGCAUUUGAUGAUCUUUUUAAAUUGCACUUUGUUUUCAAUUUGGCAUAUGAUCAUGCACUUCACAACUUCUACACAUUUGCCCAGACUACUGUAUACAAAAUUGACAUUGGAAAAACUAAAGAAUCACCAAGGGUUAGAGAAUUCCGUGCAAAGCUAUUGAAUUAAGUUUUUUUUUUUUUUUAUUGGAAUUUGCUUAACCUUAACGAUGAUGAAAUGUUUUAAAUGCCAAGAAUUGCAUGGAACCAGUCAGGC